rnacentral:rRNA from 1 species
UACAGAGGCCCCAAGCGUUACUGAGAAUCACUGGGUUUAAAGGGUGCGUAGGCGGCGCGUUAAGUCCGUUGUGAAAUCCCUUGGCUCAACCAAGGAAUGGCUUCGGAUACUGGCGUGCUUGAGGCCGGUAAGGGUCACUGGAACUGACGGUGGAGCGGUGAAAUGCGUAGAUAUCGUCAGGAACGCCAAUGGUGAAGACAGGUGACUGGGCCGGUUCUGACACUGAGGCACGAAAGCGUGGGGAGCGAACGGG